rnacentral:rRNA from 1 species
GGGUUGUGAGGUUAAGCGACUAAGCGUACACGGUGGAUGCCCUGGCAGUCAGAGGCGAUGAAGGACGUGCUAAUCUGCGAUAAGCGUCGGUAAGGUGAUAUGAACCGUUAUAACCGGCGAUUUCCGAAUGGGGAAACCCAGUGUGUUUCGACACACUAUCAUUAACUGAAUCCAUAGGUUAAUGAGGCGAACCGGGGGAACUGAAACAUCUAAGUACCCCGAGGAAAAGAAAUCAACCGAGAUUCCCCCAGUAGCGGCGAGCGAACGGGGAGGAGCCCAGAGCCUGAAUCAGUGUGUGUGUUAGUGGAAGCGUCUGGAAAGGCGCGCGAUACAGGGUGACAGCCCCGUACACAAAAAUGCACAUGCUGUGAGCUCGAUGAGUAGGGCGGGACACGUGGUAUCCUGUCUGAAUAUGGGGGGACCAUCCUCCAAGGCUAAAUACUCCUGACUGACCGAUAGUGAACCAGUACCGUGAGGGAAAGGCGAAAAGAACCCCGGCGAGGGGAGUGAAAAAGAACCUGAAACCGUGUACGUA